ensembl:misc_RNA 7SK 7SK RNA
GGAUGUGAGGGCGAUCUGGCUGUGACAUCUGUCACCCCAUUGAUUGCCAGGGUUGAUUCGGUUGAUCUGGCUGGCUAGGUGGGUGUCCCCUUCCUCCCUCAAUGCUCCAUGUGCAUCCCUCCCAAAGCUGUGGGCUCGGUCAAAGAGGAUGACCUUCCCUGAUAGAGAAGGACCAGUCUUCGGUCAAGGGUAUACGAGUAGCUGCAUUCCUCUGCUAGGACCUCUGAACAAGCUCUCAAGAAUGCUCUUCAGAAUCAAAUUUCCAUUGUGAAGGGAGCUACAUCUGGUCCAACUAGGUUCUCCUUUCAAUGACUUGAACCCAACUUGUGGAAAUUCUAAAGUGCAU